AAUGAUGGAACAUUUGAUAUCGUAUAACAUGAAGUAAAUCGCGGCUAAAAUUCGACCAUCUUGAAUUUUGUUGGAAAUCUAAAAAAUUAUUUUAAAAGAAAGUUUAAAUAAAUCGAAAUGUUUUAUGAUCCAGAUAAGUUCGACGCAGUUAUUGUCACCUUCAAGUUUCUAACUGUAUUUUCCUGUGGCUUGCUAUCAGGAGAGGCUUUAUUCCUUAGCAGGGCUCCAUACAAAUGUUUACUUGCUAUGUUAAAUGUUGACAAGAUAUCUUUGCGAGUUUUUCGUCUUUCUGGGACGUCAGCGAACCUUCAUAUGGUAAGAAUGUGAU
rnacentral:lncRNA from 1 species